rnacentral:tRNA from 2 species
CGGUGAGUGGCGCAGCUUGGUAGCGCACUUGGUUUGGGUCCAAGGGGUCGCAGGUUCAAAUCCUGUCUCACCGACCA